rnacentral:rRNA from 1 species
CCUACGGGUGGCACCAGUGGGGAAUAUUGCACAAUGGGCGCAAGCCUGAUGCAGCCAUGCCGCGUGUGUGAAGAAGGCCUUCGGGUUGUAAAGCACUUUCAGCGGGGAGGAAGGCGAUAAGGUUAAUAACCUUGUCGAUUGACGUUACCCGCAGAAGAAGCACGGCUAACUCCGUGCCAGCAGCCGCGGUAAUACGGAGGGUGCAAGCGUUAAUCGGAAUUACUGGGCGUAAAGCGCACGCAGGCGGUCUGUGAAGUCGGAUGUGAAAUCCCCGGGCUCAACCUGGGAACUGCAUUCGAAACUGGCAGGCUAGAGUCUUGUAGAGGGGGGUAGAAUCCCAGGUGUAGCGGUGAAAUGCGUAGAGAUCUGGAGGGAUACCGGUGGCGAAGGCGGCCCCCUGGACAAAGACUGACGCUCAGGUGCGAAAGCGUGGGGAGCAAACAGGAUUAGAUACCCGGGUAGUC